rnacentral:rRNA from 1 species
GAUGAACGCUGGCGGCGUGCCUAAUACAUGCAAGUCGAGCGAACGGACGAGAAGCUUGCUUCUCUGAUGCUAGCGGCGGACGGGUGAGUAACACGUGGAUAACCUACCUAUAAGACUGGGAUAACUUCGGGAAACCGGAGCUAAUACCGGAUAAUAUUUUGAACCGCAUGGUUCAAAAGUGAAAGACGGUCUUGCUGUCACUUAUAGAUGGAUCCGCGCUGCAUUAGCUAGUUGGUAAGGUAACGGCUUACCAAGGCAACGAUGCAUAGCCGACCUGAGAGGGUGAUCGGCCACACUGGAACUGAGACACGGUCCAGACUCCUACGGGAGGCAGCAGUAGGGAAUCUUCCGCAAUGGGCGCAAGCCUGACGGAGCAACGCCGCGUGAGUGAUGAAGGUCUUCGGAUCGUAAAACUCUGUUAUUAGGGAAGAACAUAUGUGUAAGUAACUGUGCACAUCUUGACGUUACCUAAUCAGAAAGCAACGGCUAACUACGUG